UAUACUAAAGGAGAGAUACUGUUCAUCUAACAGUGAUUUGGCUCCAAAUGGUUUGACGCUUUUGCCCUCGCUUCAGAUUUUUUUUCCAGCUCUACCUCGGUUCUGGAUACGAUAUCGUCAUUUUGCUCUUUCUUCUACACUCUUCUGACCAUCUUUAUCAAUUGUUGAGAGAGAGAGAGAGAGCGGUUGUGUGUGUUUGCUUCGCACGAGGAGGUAGAGGGAUAGAUUGGAGGGAAAGUUUGAAACCUCAAUCCUGGUUGAGAGAGAGAGAGAGAGUUAGAGAGAUCGGUUGUGUUUGUUUGCUUGGGACGUAUUAACUAUAUUUCGUUCUUGGUUUCUACAAGAAAGCACAGUCGAAACAGAGAGAGAGAGAGAGCGAGAGAGAGUCAGAGAGGAAGGAGAUCUACGUCUUGGAUAGCUCUGCCGUGUACCAAUUACGAAACACCCAAUCUACUAUCUUCGGGAAGCCUCUAUCAGCCAUGUAUCGGAAGUGUGCAGAAGAGAAGAGGUUCGUCUGGAUUUCGUAAUAGCGGUCUUCUGCGACAGAGUGAGGCCGAUCCGAGAGAGAGAGAGAGGAAGAGCAGGAGACGGGAAGAGCUCAAUUCAAGUUUUUAUGACAGUCAUCAAAUGUACUACCCAGCCAUCAAACUCUCAGAUAGAAUUUUAGCUUUUUCGCGGAGCCUCGAUCGACAUCCAUCUUCACUAUUUCGUAGGAUAUUUGUCUUUUAUACUGGUGGAUUACAGUUGUCAGUAUUGUGGACUGGAGUAUCUGCCUGUUUUGCUUCCUUGAUUGGAUCUUGCUGUAUCUAGCGUGAAGCUGAUCAUGUAUUAGCCUUUGUUUUUAUUUUAAGUUCUUGAUUGAUUGCUCUGUACUUUUGGUUGUUUUGAGUUCAGAACAUUGGUAUUUGGUAGCAAAAAGAAAUUUGUCUUUGUAUUUAUUUUUAAAUUAGUGUGGUGGCUUUUAACGUUAUGUCACUGAUCAAGUUCUAUAAGAUGAUAUAAUCAAUUAUAGUUUUAACUAAGAUUUGAGAAAUUGAAAUAUUGAGGUUUUAUGUUUUUUAUGGUUUUGUUGUCAAUGGUUUGAAGUUAUGGUUUGAGGUUUACAAUAGUGGUAUGUAUUUCUGAGAAGAAAAUUUUGGCAAGAGUUCAGCAAGAGAAAGUCAUUUGAUGUUUCCAUUUUAGUUUCUUAACAAAUAGGAAACCAAUAUUUUGAUAUUUUGUACUUUUGCUUUUUGAAACAUGGUUAAAGAAUGCAAUGGUGUAAAUAUUGGAAGGUGAAUUUCGUGUGUUGGGGAUAUAUCAGAAUAGUAUCAAAAGUGAUACAUCAUAAAAUAAUUUGAUUGUGACGAAGAUUGAGACUGCACCUAUUUGUCACCUAUUUUCAAAGGUGUUAUCCUGUUUUGAAACAUUGUAUAGCUUUUUUUUUUUUACCUGGUAAGUUGGAGAUAGUUCUCUGUUUUUGCCCUUUGGUUUUGUCUCAAUCACAGUUUGCCAUCGUUUGAUAGUGUUGUUGUGCGAUGGGUGUUUUUGUUAUUUUGGUUUCCUCCCCCUUUUUUUGUUCCCUAGUUAGAAUUUUAAGUUGGUCUUUACUCUGUCAUUAUAAGCUGCACCUCAAGUUUCUUUAACUUUUCCCUUUUCAUUUUCUUUGGGUUCUUCUUCAUCAAUUUUGUUUACUUCUGUAAUGAGAUCAGAAUUAAUUUAUCCUUUUUUGCAGCUCUGAUGCUGUUACUAGAUUUACUGCCCUUGAUCUUCCAUCUAUUUCGUCUUUGACAUAUACCUGCACCCUUUUAUGUUAAUUCCUUUCUCUAUUCAUUAUCAGGUAAUUCAAACUUAGGAACUGUCCAUGGGGUAAAGCUUUGAAGUUCGAACUCGAUAUAAUCUUAGGAAAAAACUCGAUAUAAAGUGUUGAAACACUUAGAAAAUCCUGUACUGGCUUACAAUUUCUAUUACAUCAUUUGAUGCUGCAAUAAACUAGAAUAGAAAUCUCAACAUGAAAAUUUUUGGAUCACUUUAUUUUA